rnacentral:tRNA from 2 species
GAGGUGUUAGUAAAAUAAUUACACAGUCUUGUCAAGACUAAAUUACAGGUGAAACCCCCGUACACCCCA